rnacentral:rRNA from 1 species
AGUCGAGCGGAUGAGUGGAGCUUGCUCCAUGAUUCAGCGGCGGACGGGUGAGUAAUGCCUAGGAAUCUGCCUGGUAGUGGGGGAUAACGUUUCGAAAGGAACGCUAAUACCGCAUACGUCCUACGGGAGAAAGUGGGGGAUCUUCGGACCUCACGCUAUCAGAUGAGCCUAGGUCGGAUUAGCUAGUUGGUGGGGUAAUGGCCCACCAAGGCGACGAUCCGUAACUGGUCUGAGAGGAUAAUCAGUCACACUGGAACUGAGACACGGUCCAGACUCCUACGGGAGGCAGCAGUGGGGAAUAUUGGACAAUGGGCGAAAGCCUGAUCCAGCCAUGCCGCGUGUGUGAAGAAGGUCUUCGGAUUGUAAAGCACUUUAAGUUGGGAGGAAGGGCAGUAAGUUAAUACCUUGCUGUUUUGACGUUACCAACAGAAUAAGCACCGGCUAACUUCGUGCCAGCAGCCGCGGUAAUACGAAGGGUGCAAGCGUUAAUCGGAAUUACUGGGCGUAAAGCGCGCGUAGGUGGUUCAGCAAGUUGGAUGUGAAAGCCCCGGGCUCAACCUGGGAAUUGCAUCCAAAACUACUGAGCUAGAGUACGGUAGAGGGUGGUGGAAUUUCCUGUGUAGCGGUGAAAUGCGUAGAUAUAGGAAGGAACACCAGUGGCGAAGGCGACCACCUGGACUGAUACUGACACUGAGGUGCGAAAGCGUGGGGAGCAAACAGGAUUAGAUACCCUGGUAGUCCACGCCGUAAACGAUGUCGACUAGCCGUUGGGAUCCUUGAGAUCUUAGUGGCGCAGCUAACGCGAUAAGUCGACCGCCUGGGGAGUACGGCCGCAAGGUUAAAACUCAAAUGAAUUGGCGGGGGCCCGCAC